ensembl:misc_RNA
GAGAAAGCAAUGGAGACAAAAGAUUGCUAUUAACCUACAGAUGCAGGCUACUGCAUGGUUCAUUGCAAGAUUUGUCACACUGUUGGGCCAAUGAAGUGUUGGUGUGACUAGAAGGGACCACCCCUUUUCUGGGGUAAGAGGGCAAUUUGGUCUCCAUGCUCAUUUAAUCCUGAGACUUCU